rnacentral:rRNA from 1 species
UACGGAGGGUGCAAGCGUUGUUCGGAAUUACUGGGCGUAAAGGGCGCGUAGGCGGCUAGGGAAGUCCGAUGUGAAAGCCCGGGGCUCAACCCCGGAAGGGCAUUGGAAACUCCCUGGCUUGAGUUCGGGAGAGGAGGGCAGAAUUCCCGGUGUAGGGUUGAAAUCCGUAGAUAUCGGGAGGAAAACCGGUGGCGAAGGCGGCCCUCUGGAACGAAACUGACGCUGAGGCGCGAAAGCGUGGGGAG